UUUGGAGGGCAAGUUUGGUGCCAGCAGCCGCGGUAAUUCCAGCUCCAAUAGCGUAUAUUAAAGUUGUUGCAGUUAAAAAGCUCGUAGUUGAAUUUCGGGAUCAGCAGGUCGGUCGUGCCUUCGGUACGAACUGGUGUCGCUGAUUCCUCCCUUCUGAAGAACCGGGAUGCCAUUAAUUUGG
rnacentral:rRNA from 1 species